rnacentral:rRNA from 1 species
UAGGGAAUCUUCCACAAUGGACGAAAGUCUGAUGGAGCAACGCCGCGUGAGUGAAGAAGGUUUUCGGAUCGUAAAGCUCUGUUGUUGGUGAAGAAGGAUAGAGGCAGUAACUGGUCUUUAUUUGACGGUAAUCAACCAGAAAGUCACGGCUAACUACGUGCCAGCAGCCGCGGUAAUACGUAGGUGGCAAGCGUUGUCCGGAUUUAUUGGGCGUAAAGCGAGCGCAGGCGGAAUGAUAAGUCUGAUGUGAAAGCCCACGGCUCAACCGUGGAACUGCAUCGGAAACUGUCAUUCUUGAGUGCAGAAGAGGAGAGUGGAACUCCAUGUGUAGCGGUGGAAUGCGUAGAUAUAUGGAAGAACACCAGUGGCGAAGGCGGCUCUCUGGUCUGCAACUGACGCUGAGGCUCGAAAGCAUGGGUAGCGAACAGGAUUAGAUACCCUGGUAGUCCAUGCCGUAAACGAUGAGCGCUAGGUGUUGGGGGACUUUCCGGUCCUCAGUGCCGCAGCAAACGCAUUAAGCGCUCCGCCUGGGGAGUACGACCGCAAGGUUGAAAC